CAAUAGCGUAUAUUAAAGUUGUUGCAGUUAGAACGCCCGUAGUCGGAUUUCGGGGCGUUCCGACCGGUCUGCCGAUGGGUAUGCACUGGCCGGAGUGUCCUUUUUGCCGGAGACCGUGCCUACUCUUAACUGAGCGGGGGCGGGAGACGGCACUUUUACUUUGAAAAAAUCAGAGUGUUUCAAGCAGGCAGCUCGCUCUUGCAUGGAUUAGCAUGGGAUAAUGAAAUAGGACUUUGGUGCUAUUUUGUUGGUUUCGAACACCGAAGUAAUGAUGAGAAGGGACAGUCAGGGGCACUCGUAUUCCGCAGAGAGAGGUGAAAUUCUCAGACCCGCGGAAGACGAACCACUGCGAAAGCAUUUGCCAGGGAUGUUUUCACUGA
rnacentral:rRNA from 1 species